AAGAAAUUCAGAUAAAAUUCACAAGUUGGUGGGCAAUUGCAAAAGAAAUGGCAACAAUAAUGGCUAAAGCUCUGAAGAUGAUUUUCUUGUUAAUUUUUGUGUUAUGGCUGUGGCUUUGGAUUAUGUUGCCCACAAAGCUUUACAAGAAUAAUUGGACCCCUAAGCUCAAUAUGAACCUCAAUUCCACAUAUUUUAGAGAACAAGGAACAAAUCUUCUGCUUUUCUCCUUUCCCAUCAUGUUAAUGGCAGUUUUGGGUUGUUUUUAUCUCCAUUUGCAGAAGAAAUCUUCAGAAUUAGAUCCUAAACCCUUUUCUACCCAAAGGAGCCGAGGAGAUUCAUUUCUAAAACGACCAAUUGUAGUGAUGAAUCCAUUUGGGAUUGUUAAUACAUUGGAGAUUGUGUUUGCAGCUGCAUUUCUUUUACUUUUGAUUUGGUCUCUUGGAAAUUACUUAUACGUCAGUUUUGGUAAUCUUCAUAUGGAUAAUGUUGGAGAGACAAUUGGGGAAGCAAAGUUUAGAAGUGUAUCAUUGAGAGUUGGGUACAUUGGAAAUAUAUGCUGGGCAUUUCUGUUCUUUCCAGUAACAAGAGGCUCUUCAUUAUUGCCUCUAAUUGGACUUACUUCAGAAUCAACUAUCAAAUAUCACAUUUGGCUUGGCCAUAUUUCUAAUCUUCUCUUUGCAUUGCACACCCUUGGAUUCAUCAUCUACUGGGCCAUCACUGAUCAAAUGGCUCUGUUAAAAGAAUGGAGUGAAGACUAUGUAUCAAAUGUUGCUGGAGUGAUUGCUAUGGCAUUUGCCACAGUUAUCUGGGUGACGAGUUUUAAAUCGAUCCGUCGAAAAAUGUUUGAAGUUUUCUAUUACAGUCACCAUUUUUACGCUCUCUACAUCAUCUUCUAUCUAAUCCAUGUGGGAGCAGCAUAUGUAUGUUUGAUUCUUCCUGGUAUCUUUCUCUGGGCUAUUGAUCGAUUCUUACGAUUCUUACAAUCGCAACGGCAUGUAAGCCUGGUUUCAGCUCGCCAUCUUCCUUGUGGUGCAGUUGAAUUGAACUUUUUGAAAAGUCCAGAACUAAGCUACAAACCUACAAGUGUGAUGUUCAUAAAUGUGCCAAGCAUUUCCAAACUGCAAUGGCAUCCCUUUACAGUCACUUCUAACUGCAAAUUGGAGCCUGAUACAGUUAGUGUUGUUAUCAAAUCAGGGGGAAGUUGGACUUCCAAACUUCACAAACAACUUUCUUCUUCUCUGGAUCACCUUCAAGUUUCUGUUGAAGGUCCAUAUGGUCCUGCUUCUACUCACUUUUUAAGGCAUGAAUCUCUGCUGCUGAUAAGCGGAGGAAGUGGAAUUACUCCCUUCAUAUCAAUAAUCAGAGAGAUAAUGAUUGUUCGAAGCACAAAACCGAACUGUCAUGUUCCGCAAAUUCGGCUCGUCUGCGCCUUCAAGAACUCCAUCGAUCUCACUAUGUUGGAUCUCUUGCUUCCAGUAUCUAGCACACAAACUGAAAUUUCGAAUAUACCAUUACAAAUUGAAGCUUAUAUCACCAGAGAGAAAGAACAACCUCAGACAAAUUCUGAAAAUCUCAUAAACACAAUAUGGUUUAAGCCAAAUCCACUGGACUCACCAGUGUCAGAGGCUCUUGGACCAAACAAUUGGCUGCUCCUUGGUGCGAUUAUCUCAUCUUCGUUUGUGAUGUUCUUGAUACUUUUAGGCAUCAUCACUCGCUACUACAUUUACCCGAUUGAACAAAACGGCGAUGCUGUUUACAAUUACACCUACAAGGUUCUUUGGGACAUGUUCUUAGCAUUUGCUUGUAUUUGCAUAUCUUCUAGCUUUGUCUUUCUGUGGCAAAGGAAAACAAAUGCUUCAAAUGGCAAACAAAUUCAAAUUCACAAUUUUCAAUCACCAAAAGCAUCACCUGGAUCGUGGAUCUUUCGAGGUGAUAGUGAGCUUGAGAGCCUUCCCUGCCAAUCCCUAGUUCAAGCAACCAGCAUCCAUUAUGGGGGUAGGCCUGAUCUCAAGAAAAUUCUGUUUGAUUGCAAAAUUCUGUUUGAUUGCAAAGGAUCGGAUAUUGGAGUUUUAGUCAGCGGCCCAACCGGGAUGCGGCAUGAUGUAGCAAAAAUUUGUUCAACUGCUUAUGGAGAUAAUCUAAAGUUUCACUCUAUGAGUUUCACCUGGUAAAGACCUGAAGUACAGUGCAUAAUUUAAAGUUCGAAGCUGUAUCAUACCUGUUUGAAGACUUUCUUUUACAGAAGAAGCAGCACUAAGAACCUCAACUUUAUCGCCAUCCUUCUUCCAGAUGGGUAUGAUUACCACCUGGAUAUAAGUCAGCUAUGUUAAAAUUAUGUUUGUUUGAGAGAGAGAGGAAU